rnacentral:rRNA from 1 species
UACGGAGGGAGCUAGCGUUGUUCGGAAUUACUGGGCGUAAAGCGCACGUAGGCGGCUUUGUAAGUUAGAGGUGAAAGCCCGGGGCUCAACUCCGGAACUGCCUUUAAGACUGCAUCGCUUGAAUCCAGGAGAGGUGAGUGGAAUUCCAGGUGUAGCGGUGAAAUGCGUAGAUAUCUGGAGGAACACCGGUGGCGAAGGCGGCAUCCUGGACCGGUAUUGACGCUGAGGCGCGAAAGCUAGGGGAGCAAACGGG